AGCCUAAACCCUUGUCCGGGCAUGGCGAAAAGACCAGAUACAGCAUAAAGAACCCAUCAUGGGGUCGCUGUAUCUGGCCAUAUCGGGAAACCGGUAUGAGUGGCGCAAGCCACU
rnacentral:sRNA from 1 species